CCUACGGGGGGCUGCAGUGGGGAAUAUUGGACAAUGGGCGAAAGCCUGAUCCAGCCAUGCCGCGUGUGUGAAGAAGGCCUUCGGGUUGUAAAGCACUUUCAGUGGGGAAGAAAGCCUUGGGGCUAAUACCCUCGAGGAAGGACAUCACCCACAGAAGAAGCACCGGCUAACUCCGUGCCAGCAGCCGCGGUAAUACGGAGGGUGCGAGCGUUAUCGGAAUUACUGGGCGUAAAGCGCGCGUAGGCGGUCUGAUAAGCCGGUUGUGAAAGCCCCGGGCUCAACCUGGGAACGGCAUCCGGGAGUGGGAGGGAGGAGGGAAGGGGGAGGAGGGGAGAGACCCAGGGUUGGCGGGAACAUGGGAAGAGCCCGGGGGAAAUAGAGGGGGAAGGGGGGGACUUGGGAAGUGAAAGAGCGCCGAGGGGGCAAAGGUUAGGAUAAAAAACGGGAUUAGCUACAGGGUUAGAC
rnacentral:rRNA from 1 species